rnacentral:tRNA from 1 species
GGCCGUGUAUAGCUCAGUUGGCAGAGAAUUGGGCUAGUAUUCCAAAGGUCGUAGGUUCGAUUCCCACCGUGGCCA